rnacentral:rRNA from 1 species
UUAUCGGAGAGUUUGAUCCUGGCUCAGGACGAACGCUGGCGGCGUGCCUAAUACAUGCAAGUCGAGCGGAGAGCG